rnacentral:lncRNA from 1 species
CGGUCACUAUUUUUAUGCAGGUUGCUAACAUGCAUCCAAUAUUCAAUCAUUGAUUUUGACGUAUCAAACACUAUUAAUUUGAUGACAACCUUUAGCCUAGAUUAAGUAUGUUAAGAUUCUUCGAUGCUGAUAUUAAUAAAAGGAUAUCAGUGGAUGCUGGUUUUUUUACUAGGUUUAUUCUACCUGAAUUUUUUUCAUGAACGGUGGUCUCUUUCUACAUCUAUUUAUUCGAUUAUUAAAACUUUUUGUGCAAGUAUUUCAAGCGAAUGGUGUGCUUGAUCUGGUUGUUCUAUUAAAUUCUAUCUUAUUCGAUAUCUUUUCCCUGUGUAGCAUGUGAUACAAUGAUAAGAUGGAACCUUUUUACUCUAAGAAGUCUUUCAUUAUCUCCCUCUGACUUGUAAUAGUAGCUUUUCCUGGAACACAAAGAAAUUACAUCGUCAGGUCAUCCCAAAGGGAUGGUUGAGUUAUUGAGAUCUUAAAUUCAAAUUCAGUUACAACACCAAAUGUGAAUGCAUCUGCUCCAACUUUUUGGGGCCAGGUUUACCCAACACUUGUGCUUGUGGAUAUCACAGAUUUUCCUGUGGAUUAGGCGAGGUGUACACAAGAUGUCUAGACACCAUGGCUGUAAUAAAAAAGAUGCACGAUCAUUAAAUUAGUCUAUUCAUUUUCUAAAGACAACAAAUGAUGCUAAAGAUUUCAUUUAUAUGCUUUGCUUGACAGCUUUUUACAUAAGUUUACAACUCUUGCCUGUAAGAUGAAAAAACUAAAACUAAAAAUUGUAAGCUAGCUCUAAUCUGAAGCUCAGACUGCUACUUCAUGGUUCUUCAUUUCAUAGGUUCAAUCGAGAAGUUACAUAAACAAAAUCAUCCUCAUUGCAAGGAAUUGUUAGACCACCCGUUGGAUGAUGAAAUCCAAACUCUUCUUCUGCUUUCCGUAACAAGUUCUGGAACGAAGGAUGAUCCAGGUAUGUUAUUGGCACCAUAUACCUUUUCUUCUCUCUCUUACCUACAUAAACCACAAAAUGUCCUUUCGGGACAUCUGAGGUAUGUUAUUGGCACCAUAUACCUUUCUUCUCUCUCUCACCUACAUAAACUGCAAAAUGUCCUUUCUGAACAUCUGAAUGACUCCUUGUUAGAAGAGACUGCAGUCUGUGGAUUUGCUUGGCACCGGAAAUCAUUGGUAACAAAUGAAAUCCCAUGACUUCUCUUCAACUUUAACAAGGAAAGAGUGUUACAAGAAGUUGAAAACAAGCUUUAAGUGAUAUGUGUUGUAGAAAAAGAAGCUUAUGCUUUUCUGCAUAUGAGUUCUCUGAUGUAGAUAUAGUGAUUGAUCAGAGGAGUUAGUUGAUUUAUUUGUAGUAUAACUCAACAGUGUGGGACCAUAAUUCUCUCUAACAAAGCAUGACAGUGGACUCAAUUGCUUUACAUUAUUGUAGCAGAAAGCUCUGUUUGCUCCCCAACUUGCAGCUAUACGAUAGAAGAACUUUUUUUGAUUUAACAAUACAUUUAUAGCAUAGCACAUAGUUUUCCGACACAAAACCGCGUACUUCUAUGUAGACAGUUUUUCCUUUGUACUAUUUUUUCUAUUUGAUCAUUUAUUGUUUUUGUUACUCUUAUCUUUUCAGUCUUCAGACUGAUGAUACACGUACUCAUGAGGCAUAUUGGGGUCCUUUGUUGUUUGGUUGCUGCUUCUCUAACUUCUAUUGUGACAAAUUGAUGGAAGUGGCUGUGGCUCUAGCCUUUUUUUAAAAAAAUUAUUACAUAGGUGGUAGCGGAAGGGAAAAUGGAGAGGGGAUUACAAGGUGGAGAAUCGAACUCCCACCAUCAAGGUGAAAAUUCAGGUAACUAACCAAUUGAGCUAUUAAGAUUCCCCGCUGUGGCUCUAGGCAUAUUUUACAAUUCCAAUUUCCCCAUUUUUAUAUUUAAAAGCUGGACACUAUGAAUCUCCUCUCUCCCUNN